AGGAAUAUUGGUCAAUGGGCGUAAGCCUGAACCAGCCAAGUAGCGUGAGGGAAGACUGCCCUAUGGGUUGUAAACCUCUUUUGUGCGGGGAUAAAGUGUGGGACGUGUCCCAUAUUGCAGGUACCGCACGAAUAAGGACCGGCUAAUUCCGUGCCAGCAGCCGCGGUAAUACGGAAGGUCCGGGCGUUAUCCGGAUUUAUUGGGUUUAAAGGGAGCGCAGGCCGUCCUUUAAGCGUGCUGUGAAAUGCCGCGGCUCAACCGUGGCACUGCAGCGCGAACUGGAGGACUUGAGUACGCACGAGGUAGGCGGAAUUCGUGGUGUAGCGGUGAAAUGCUUAGAUAUCACGAAGAACUCCGAUUGCGAAGGCAGCUUACCGGAGCGCAACUGACGCUGAGGCUCGAAAGCGCGGGUAUCGAACAGGAUUAGAUACCCUGGUAGUCCGCGCGGUAAACGAUGGAUGCCCGCCGUUGGGAUUUUGAUUUCAGCGGCCAAGCGAAAGCGUUAAGCAUCCCACCUGGGGAGUACGCCGGCAACGGUGAAACUCAAAGGAAUUGACGGGGGCCCGCACAAGCGGAGGAACAUGUGGUUUAAUUCGAUGAUACGCGAGGAACCUUACCCGGGCUUGAAUUGCAGGAGAACGAUCCAGAGAUGGUGAGGCCCUUCGGGGCUCCUGUGAAGGUGCUGCAUGGUUGUCGUCAGCUCGUGCCGUGAGGUGUCGGCUCAAGUGCCAUAACGAGCGCAACCCCUGUCCAUAGUUGCCAUCAGGUCGUGCUGGGCACUCUGUGGAGACUGCCGCCGUAAGGUGUGAGGAAGGUGGGGAUGACGUCAAAUCAGCACGGCCCUUACGUCCGGGGCUACACACGUGUUACAAUGGGGCAUACAGCGAGUUGGAUGUGCGCAAGUACGUCCGGAUCAAUAAAGUGCCUCUCAGUUCGGACUGGGGUCUGCAACCCGACCCCACGAAGCUGGAUUCGCUAGUAAUCGCGCAUCAGCCAUGGCGCGGUGAAUACGUUCCCG
rnacentral:rRNA from 1 species